rnacentral:rRNA from 1 species
GACGAACGCUGGCGGCGUGGUUAAGACAUGCAAGUCGAACGGGACAUUAGGUGUAGCAAUACAUCUGAUGUUCAGUGGCGAACGGGUGCGUAACACGUGAACAAUCUACCUUUAAGUGUGGAAUAGCUCGCCGAAAGGCGAAUUAAUACCGCAUGUGGUGGCCUCUCUCCUGAGAGACCUACUAAAGUCGGGACGCAGGCCUGACGCUUGAAGAGGAGUUCGCGGCCUAUCAGCUUG